rnacentral:snRNA from 1 species
GUGCUUGCUUCGGUGGCACAUACACUGAAAUUGGAACGACAGAUUAGUAAGGCCUCUGUGUAAGGAUGACACACAUUUGUGAAGCAUUCCAUGUUUAA